rnacentral:rRNA from 1 species
CCUACGGGUGGCAGCAGUGGGGGAUAUUGCACAAUGGGGGGAACCCUGAUGCAGCGACGCCGCGUGAGCGAAGAAGUACCUCGGUAUGUAAAGCUCUAUCAGCAGGGAAGAAAAUGACGGUACCUGACUAAGAAGCCCCGGCUAAAGACGUGGCAGCAGCCGCGGUAAUAUGGAGGGGGCAAGCGUUAUCCGGAUUUACUGGGUGUAAAGGGAGCGCAGGCGGCCUGCCAAGUCUGGUGUGAAAACCCGGGGCCCAACCCCGGGCCUGCAGUUGAAACUGGCGGGCUGGAGUGUCGGAGGGGCAGGCGGAAUUCGUGGUGUAGCGGUGAAAUGCGUAGAUAUUAGGAGGAACACCGAUGGCGAAGGCAGCCUGCUGGACGAUAACUGACGCUGAGGCUCGAAAGCGUGGGGAGCAAACAGGAUUAGAUACCCGAGUAGUC